GACGAACGCUGGCGGCGUGCUUAACACAUGCAAGUCGAACGGAAAGGCCCUGCUUUUGUGGGGUGCUCGAGUGGCGAACGGGUGAGUAACACGUGAGUAACCUGCCCUUGACUUUGGGAUAACUUCAGGAAACUGGGGCUAAUACCGGAUAGGAGCUCCUGCUGCAUGGUGGGGGUUGGAAAGUUUCGGCGGUUGGGGAUGGACUCGCGGCUUAUCAGCUUGUUGGUGGGGUAGUGGCUUACCAAGGCUUUGACGGGUAGCCGGCCUGAGAGGGUGACCGGCAACAUGGGACUGAGGUAGGGCCCAGGAGCCAAGGGGAGGGAGCGGGGGGGAAAUUGGAAACAGUGGGCGGAGGCAGGAAGCAGCACCGCGGGGGGGGGAAAGGCGGCUUUGGGGUUGAAAACCUCUUCCGCGUGAGAAGAAGGGUGGGGGAGGGAAAUGGGAAAAAAGGCACGGGCAAAUUCCUG
rnacentral:rRNA from 1 species